rnacentral:rRNA from 1 species
GACGAACCGUGCAAACGUUGUUCGGAAUCACUGGGCUUAAAGGGCGCGUAGGCGGGCAGGCAAGUCGAAGGUGAAAUCCCACGGCUCAACCGUGGAAGUGCCCCCGAUACUGCCUGUCUCGAGGGAGAUAGGGGCGUGCGGAACUUCCGGUGGAGCGGUAAAAUGCGUAGAUAUCGGAAGGAACACCGGUGGCGAAAGCGGCGCGCUGGAUCUCUUCUGACGCUGAUGCGCGAAAGCCAGGGGAGCAAACGGG